rnacentral:rRNA from 1 species
GACGAACGCUGGCGGCGUGCUUAACACAUGCAAGUCGAACGGAAAGGCCCUGCUUUUGUGGGGUGCUCGAGUGGCGAACGGGUGAGUAACACGUGAGUAACCUGCCCUUGACUUUGGGAUAACUUCAGGAAACUGGGGCUAAUACCGGAUAGGAGCUCCUGCUGCAUGGUGGGGGUUGGAAAGCUUCGGCGGUUGGGGGUGGACUCGCGGCUUAUCAGCUUGUUGGUGGGGUAGUGGCUUACCAAGGCUUUGACGGGUAGCCGGCCUGAGAGGGUGACCGGACACAUUGGGACUGAGAUACGGCCCAGACUCGUACGGGAGGCAGCGGUGGAGAAUAUUGCACAAUGGGCGGAAGCCUGAUGCAGCAAAGCAGCGUGCGGGAUGACGGCCUUCGGGUUGUAAACCGCAUUCGCCUGUGACGAAGCGUGAGUGACGGUAAUGGGUAAAGAAGCACCGGCUAACUACGUG